UGCAAAUGGAAGCCUGAAGCAAAGCAGAAUGCUUUGUGGAAGAAUUUAAUAAGUUUUUAUACUAAAAAUGUCUAGUAUCAAUGGAUAUGCAUGUGUGUGUGUGUGUGUGUGUGUGUGCGUGCAA